CAACGGCCUAAUUCCAACUCUGCUGUCGCUCCAGGGAGGUUGUACAAACCCCAGAGAAUAAAGGCCAAGUUUUCUUCAAGGUUACAAAAGGGCUGUGGCUUCUGUCUCACUUGCGCUGUGAGGGAAGUCAGGCGCCAUGUUGGGAACUGGCCCAUGGAGAAGACCACCGGCCAUGGCAAGGGACUGAGAGAGGCCGUGGUCACCUACCAGCAGGGGAUGAGACCCUCAUCCCAACAGCCCUCAAGGACCCGUGUCCUGCCAACAAGCAAGUGAGCCGCUUAGAAGCAGACCCCAGUGAGCUCUGAGAUGAUCGUAACUCAGAUUCAUCUUUGGAAGGCCCUUGGCACAGCUGCCCAGUCAGAACUGUGUUGCCUAUAAGCACAGCACAGUCUGCAGGCCCCGCAGGCACACAAUCCUCCAGCCCUCACGGCCAAGAUCAAGAUGUGGCUUCUCUUUGCUUAAAAAGAGAAACAAACAAAAAUCAAACAAAAAGGGCAGAAAAUUGCCUUUAAAAAUUCAGGUAAAAUAAAUAAAUAAAUAAGUAAAGGCAA